CCUACGGGAGGCAGCAGUGGGGGAUAUUGCACAAUGGGGGGAACCCUGAUGCAGCGACGCCGCGUGGGUGAAGAAGCGCCUCGGCGCGUACAGCCCUGUCAGCAGGGAAGAAAAUGACGGUACCUGAAGAAGAAGCCCCGGCUAACUACGUGCCAGCAGCCGCGGUAAUACGUAGGGGGCAGGCGUUAGCCGGAUUUACUGGUUGUAAAGGGGGCGCAGACGGCGAUGCAAGCCAGGAGUGAAAGCCCGGGGACCAACCCCGGGACUGCUCUUGGAACUGCGUGGCUGGAGUGCAGGAGGGGCAGGCGGAAUUCCUGGUGUAGCGGUGAAAUGCGUAGAUAUCAGGAGGAACACCGGUGGCGAAGGCGGCCUGCUGGACUGCAACUGACGUUGAGGCCCGAAAGCGUGGGGAGCAAACAGGAUUAGAUACCCCUGUAGUC
rnacentral:rRNA from 1 species